rnacentral:rRNA from 1 species
UACGAGGGGGGCGAGCGUUGUUCGGAAUUAUUGGGCGUAAAGGGCGCGUAGGCGGUGCGGUAAGUCACCUGUGAAACCCCCCGGGCUCAACUCGGGGCCUGCAGGCGAAAACUGCCGUGCUGGAGUGCGGAAGAGGUGAGUGGAAUUCCCGGUGUAGCGGUGAAAUGCGUAGAUAUCGGGGAGGAACACCUGUGGCGAAAAGCGGCUCAC